GUUCCGUCCCCAUUUUUUUCUUUCCUUUUUUUUGUUCGGUCCCCAGCAAGCAAAAAACCGCCCUCCCCUUCAUUUUUUUUUCUUCGGUUUUGAAAACAGAGAACUUCCCCCUUCAACUUCGGUUUUGUGCUCUCCUUCUCCAAGGACUUCAUCCUCUUCUUCUUCAAGCCUUCUAAACUCUUCAAAGCUUCAUCUUUCCCUCAUCCUCUCCAAAGCUUCAAGCAAAGAAAGUUGGGUUUGGAGGAUCUUCAUCAACAACAAAGUCUCCUCUUCAAGGAUUCUCCAAGCUUUGGUUUCCGAUGCCUCCACGCCGAUCUCGACUUCCUAGGAGUCGAUCCCAUUCGCAGCCUAGCGAGGAAGAAGUUCCCGCAGCAUCCUCCCCUCCAGCGGCUUCCUUUUUUGGGGUCGAGUUCCCCGCGGGCAGCCUUCCUCCUCAUGCUAAU